UACGUAGGUGGCAAGCGUUGUCCGGAUUUAUUGGGCGUAAAGAGCGUGCAGGCGGUCUUUUAAGUCUGAUGUGAAAGCCCCCGGCUUAACUGGGGAGGGUCAUUCGAUACUGUUCGACUUGAAGGCAGGAGAGGGCAGCAGAAUUCCCGGUGUAGUGGUGAAAUGCGUAGAUAUCGGGAGGAAUACCAGUGGCGAAGGCGGCUGCCUGGCCUGUUCUUGACGCUGAGGCACGAAAGCUAGGGGAGCAAACGGG
rnacentral:rRNA from 1 species